CAUAUCAAUAAGCGGAGGAAAAGAAACUAACAAGGAUUCCCCUAGUAACUGCGAGUGAAGCGGGAAAAGCUCAAAUUUAAAAUCUGUCAGUCUUUGGCUGUCCGAGUUGUAAUCUAGAGAAGUGUUAUCCGCGCUGGACCGUGUACAAGUCUCCUGGAAUGGAGCGUCAUAGAGGGUGAGAAUCCCGUCUUUGACACGGACUGCCAGGGCUUUGUGAUGCGCUCUCAAAGAGUCGAGUUGUUUGGGAAUGCAGCUCAAAAUGGGUGGUAAAUUCCAUCUAAAGCUAAAUAUUGGCGAGAGACCGAUAGCGAACAAGUACCGUGAGGGAAAGAUGAAAAGAACUUUGGAAAGAGAGUUAAACAGUACGUGAAAUUGCUGAAAGGGAAACGCUUGAAGUCAGUCGCGUUGUCCAGGGAUCAACCUUGCUUUUGCUUGGUGUACUUUCUGGUUGACGGGUCAGCAUCAAUUUUGACCAUUGGAAAAAUAUCAGGGGAAUGUGGCAUCUUCGGAUGUGUUAUAGCCCUUGGUUGUAUACAAUGGUUGGGAUUGAGGAACUCAGCACGCCGCAAGGCCGGGUUUUUAACCACGUACGUGCUUAGGAUGCUGGCAAAAUGGCUUUAAUCGACCCGUCUUGAAACACGGACCAAGGAGUCUAACAUACCUGCGAGUGUUUGGGUGGAAAACCCGAGCGCGUAAUGAAAGUGAAAGUUGAGAUCCCUGUCAUGGGGAGCAUCGACGCCCGGACCAGACCUUUUGUGACGGUUCCGCGGUAGAGCAUGUAUGUUGGGACCCGAAAGAUGGUGAACUAUGCCUGAAUAGGGUGAAGCCAGAGGAAACUCUGGUGGAGGCUCGUAGCGAUUCUGACGUGCAAAUCGAUCGUCAAAUUUGGGUAUAGGGGCGAAAGACUAAUCGAACCAUCUAGUAGCUGG
rnacentral:rRNA from 1 species